rnacentral:rRNA from 1 species
CCGACUCCUACGGGAGCAGCAGUGGGGAAUAUUGCGCAAUGGGGGCAACCCUGACGCACCUGCCGCGUGAAUGAAGAAGGCCUUCGGGUUGUAAAGUUCUUUCGGUAGCGAGGAAGGCAUUUAGUUUAAUAGACUAAGUGAUUGACGUUAACUACAGAAGAAGCACCGGCUAACUCCGUGCCAGCAGCCGCGGUAAUACGGAGGGUGCGAGCGUUAAUCGGAAUAACUGGGCGUAAAGGGCACGCAGGCGGUGACUUAAGUGAGGUGUGAAAGCCCCGGGCUUAACCUGGGAAUUGCAUUUCAUACUGGGUCGCUAGAGUACUUUAGGGAGGGGUAGAAUUCCACGUGUAGCGGUGAAAUGCGUAAAGAUGUGGAGGAAUACCGAAGGCGAAGGCAGCCCCUUGGAAAUGUACUGACGCUCAUGUGCGAAAGCGUGGGGAGCAAACAGGAUUAAAUACCCUGGUAGUCCACGCUGUAAACGAUGUCGAUUUGGGGGUUGAGCUUUAAGCUUGGCGCCCGUAGCUAACGUGAUAAAUCGACCGCCUGGGGAGUACGG